GUUUUUAUAUGCAUUUAAUAUUUUUAAGAAUAGUUCAAAAGCUGUCAAAAUAAAAUGGUGAAUUGAGUUUAAACCAGAAAAGAUAUAAACGUAAUCUUUGGGAUUCAACUUGUAAGGAUGUUCCAAGAACCACUUAGUUGGAGAAGGAAAACUGUGCCGUUCAUUAACAAGUCCUGUGCUUUAUAAUAUAUUAAAAAAUGGAAGGACGUGAAGAAAACAGGUUUGUAAAUGAUGUUGUACAUCAUGCAGAUAGCUCAGAAGAAGAAGUAAGUUUUUUUUUUAAUUACAAAAGUAAAUAUAUAAUAUAAUAUUUGUUGCUGCCUUGUUCUAUAUAAAUGUUUCUAACAUGCAGGUAACAUUUAUAUAUGUAUUAGUUUGAAUAAAUCAUUUUAAUAAAGUUACAUUAUAGGCAGGAAUGUUUGACUGGAAAUAUAAACGAUGUUGUACAUAAUGCAGAUAGCUUAGGCAAAAAAGAGAUUGGUGAAAUGGAGAAUGAGACUAACUAGGGUGAAAAAAAAUGAAUAUUAAUAUGUGAAUGGUACUUUGUUUAACAUCUACCUGUUUCUACAGAUACAGUACAGACGCAUUUAUAAAUGGGCUUGAUGUUUUUUUGAAUUAAAUAUGUUGUAUUGA